UAAGACUGGCACAUACCAAUUUGGCUAGUAUAUACUAGUAUGGAUGGUUUCGGCAUCCAGGCAUCGAUACCAACACCGCAUUUGCAUAGAAACGAUAAAAUACCAAUGGUACAAUCCCAUUCCAGCGGUUUUUGAAUCCAUGCAUUUAAGCAAAUCCAUUCUUGUUACUUCAUGUGAAUGCCAAAGUAUAGAUUCAUGGUAUCAUUAUAAUCAGUUGGCCUUUUCCAAACUAUUCGGGGUCGACUUCAUGGAUCCUCAUUCGCCAAGUAUUCCUAUCCGGUGCCACCUCUAAUGUUAUUCCAAGUUACGUACAGAUUAAUGGUAUAUCAAAGAAUAAUAAGAUAUGCACAAUAAAUACAAUAUGACAAAUCAAGACAAUGAUUAUUUUUCUUUUUUAAAAAUAUUAGUUCAAUGAUGACUUUUAAGAUUUUCAAAACAUAUUUAGUUGUUCUGCAAUUCCUAAAUCACAGCCUUAAGCUAGAAAAAGAAAAUGUAACCCCAAAAUCGAACC
rnacentral:lncRNA from 1 species